rfam:Rattus norvegicus chromosome 17, whole genome shotgun sequence.
GGGGAUUUGGCUCAGUGGUAGAGCACUUGCCUAGCAAGCACAAGGCCCUGGGUUCGGUUCCCAGCUCCA